UAAGGUAAUUUWWUCUUAUAAUCUUCACAAGGWUCUUAAAUUUACAAAUAAAUAUUUUKAUAUAGAAAAAGUUAAUCUAGUUUUUCCAUCACCCCAACAAAAUACAUUUCAAUAAAAUUAAAAACAAACAACCUCACUAUUUCCCCAUCGAAAUAUAUAAAACUCUAUAGGGUCUUCUCGUCUUCUAUGAUCAUUUAAGCUUUUUUACUUAAAAAUAAAAUUCUAUAAAAAUUUUAAAGAGACAGAAGCUUUUUCAUCAAACCUUUCAUUCUAGCUUUCAAUUAAAAAACUAUUUAUUAUGCUACCUUUGCACGGUCAAUAUACCGCGGCCAUUUAAACCUUCAGUGGGCAGGUACAACUUGAAAUCAUAGUCAACAAGCCAUGUUUUUAAUA
rnacentral:rRNA from 1 species